rnacentral:rRNA from 1 species
UGGGGAAUAUUGCACAAUGGGCGAAAGCCUGAUGCAGCGACGCCGCGUGAGGGAUGACGGCCUUCGGGUUGUAAACCUCUUUCAGUAGGGACGAGGCGCAAGUGACGGUACCUGCAGAAGAAGCACCGGCUAACUACGUGCCAGCAGCCGCGGUAAUACGUAGGGUGCGAGCGUUGUCCGGAAUUACUGGGCGUAAAGAGCUCGUAGGCGGUUUGUCACGUCGUCUGUGAAAUCCUAGGGCUUAACCCUGGACGUGCAGGCGAUACGGGCUGACUUGAGUACUACAGGGGAGGCUGGAAUUUCUGGUGUAGCGGUGGAAUGCACAGAUAUCAGGAAGAACACCGAUGGCGAAGGCAGGUCUCUGGGUAGUAACUGACGCUGAGGAGCGAAAGCAUGGGUAGCGAACAGG